AAUUGAAAACAUACGGCCGCACCCGCACAAAUACACAAACAAGCAGCGAACAGCAGCAGCUCUGCAUUAUCUCCGAUUCUCCGCCACCAGUCCGCCUCCGGCCUCCGCCCUCCUGCGCCUCCGGCUCCUGCUGCUCCGGCUCCGCCGCCUCCGCCUCCGUCACUUCGUGAUUACAGAUUUACAAGAGAGGAUGCGGUUUUGAUUCAAGUGUGAGUUAACUGGACAGCUAGAUGCCAAACAAUAAUUACAGAUGGAAAUUGAGGAAUUAAAAGGGAACUGCACGUGAUGAAACAUAUGGGUGAUGAAGAUACUAAGCUUCUAGGGUAAAAAUCUAGCCAUUCUAAACUACAAGUGCUUCCUGGAAGACUUUUGAGUUUGUCGCACCCACACAAGGAUAGAUUAAUAAGCUUAUGAAGAUUUCCAAUUGAUAAAGAUGACAACACAAAUGCUAGUCGGAAGAGUGAUGGUGAGUAUAACAAAUGAAUAUGUAAAAGCAUCUGCAAAGACGAGGUUAUGACAUCAAAGGUGAAUAAAUAGCGUGAUAGAAUCGUCAACUAAGCGAAUGAAUAUCCAAAGACGAGGUUGUCUUUUUUAUUAAGAAAACUGUUAUUUUUUGUCAAUAGUACUUUUUAAGUUUUUUUUUA